rnacentral:rRNA from 1 species
UCGACGAUUGGAAGGGGUGUAUUUAUUAGAUUAAAAGCCAACGCCCUUCGGGGCUUCUUGGUGAUUCAUGAUAACUGGUCGAAUCGCAUGGCCUUGCGCCGGCGAUGGUUCAUUCAAAUUUCUUCCCUAUCAACUUUCGAUGCGAAGGUCUUGUCUUCGCAUGGUUGCAACGGGUAACGGAGGGUUAGGGCUCGACCCCGGAGAAGGAGCCUGAGAAACGGCUACUACAUCCAGGGAAGGCAGCAGGCGCGCAAAUUACCCAAUCCCGACACGGGGAGGUAGUGACAAUAAAUACUGAUACAGGGCUCUUUUGGGUCUUGUAAUCGGAAUGAGUACAAUUUAAAUCCCUUAACGAGGAACAAUUGGAGGGCAAGUCUGGUGCCAGC